rnacentral:rRNA from 1 species
GACGGAGGAGGCUAGCGUUGUUCGGAAUUACUGGGCGUAAAGCGUACGCAGGUGGCGGUUCAAGUCGGAUGUGAAAGCCCGGGGCUCAACCCCGGAUGGGCAUCCGAUACUGGAUUGCUGGAGUCCGGAAGAGGAGAGCGGAAUUCCCAGUGUAGAGGUGAAAUUCGUAGAUAUUGGGAAGAACACCGGUGGCGAAGGCGGCUCUCUGGUCCGGUACUGACACUCAAGUACGAAAGCGUGGGGAGCAAACAGG